GGGUGUGUGAUAUCAGGGUGUGUGAUAUCAGGGUGUGUGAUAUCGGGGUGUGAUAUCGGGAUAUGUGAUAUUGCAGUGUGUGAUAUUGGGGUGUGAUAUUGGGGUGCGAUAUCGGGGUGUGUGAUAUCAGGGUGUGUGAUAUCGGGGUGUGAUAUCGGGAUAUGUGAUAUUGCAGUGUGUGAUAUUGGGGUGUGAUAUCGGGGUGUGAUAUUGCGGUGUGUGAUACCGGGCUGUGCCGCCGGCGCCCGCAGGCACAAUGACAACAAGACGUUCCUGGUGUGGGUGAACGAGGAGGAUCACCUCCGCGUCAUCUCCAUGGAGAAGGGCGGAAACAUGAAGGAGGUGUUCCGGCGCUUCUGCGUCGGCCUCAAGAAGGUGGGCACGGGGUCACGGGGUCAUGGGGUCACGGGAUCAUGGGGUCACGGGGUCAUGGGGUCACAGGGUCACGGGGGGUUACUGGGGGCGUGGGACUCAUGGGGGUCACGUUGGUUGUUGGGGUCGAGGGGACAGGGAGGGGACAUUGGGGUCAUGGGGGUCAUCGAGGUCGUUGGGAUCAUGGGGAUGUGGGACCAUUGGGAGCAUGGGGGGUGUUGGGGUCAUGGGGACAUGGGGACAUUGGAGGAGACACUGGGGUCAUGGGAGACAUGGGGGUCAUGGGGACGUUGGGAUCAUGGGGACAUGGGGACACCAGAGGAGACAGGGGUCAUGGGGGACAUUGGGGACACUGGGGUGAUGGGGUUUGGGGUCAUGGGGACAUUGGGAUCAUGGGGACUGGGACAAGGGGGCACAGGGAUUGGGGUCAUGGGGGUCAUAGGAAUUGGGAACAUGGGGGUCAUGGGAAAUGGGGCAUUGGGGAUUUGCCAUGAGAACUGGGGUCAUCGGGGUCAUGGGGUCAUGGGGUCAUGGGGUCAAAGGGGGAUACUGGGGGCGUGGGACUCGUGGGGGUCACGUUGGUUGUUGGGGUCGAGGGGACAGGGAGGGGACAUUGGGGUCAUGGGGACAUGGGGACAUUGGAGGAGACACUGGGGUCACGGGGGACAGUGGGGACACUGGGGUCAUGGGGUUUGGGGUCACGGGGACAUUGGGGUCAUGGGGCUCAUUGGGGUCACGGGGUCACGGGGGGAUACUGGGGGCAUGGGACUCUUUGGGGUCACAUUGGUUGUUGGGGUCGAGGGGAGAGGGAGGGGACAUUGGGGUCAUGGGGACAUGGGGACAUUGGAGGAGACACUGAGGUCACGGGGGACAGUGGGGACACUGGGGUCAUGGGGUUUGGGGUCACGGGGACAUUGGGG
rnacentral:lncRNA from 1 species